rnacentral:rRNA from 1 species
GAUGAACGCUGGCGGCGUGCCUAAUACAUGCAAGUCGAGCGAACAGAUGAUGAGCUUGCUCCUCUGACGUUAGCGGCGGACGGGUGAGUAACACGUGGAUAACCUACCUAUAAGACUGGGAUAACUUCGGGAAACCGGAGCUAAUACCGUAUAAUAUCUUGAACCGCAUGGUUCAAUAGUGAAAGACGGUUUUGCUGUCACUUAUAGAUGGAUCCGCGCCGCAUUAGCUAGUUGGUAAGGUAACGGCUUACCAAGGCAACGAUGCGUAGCCGAACUGAGAGGGGGAUAGGCCACACGGGAACUGAGACACGGUCCAGACUCCUACGGGAGGCAGCAGUAGGGAACCUUCCGCAAUGGGCGAAAGCCUGACGGAGCAACGCCGAGUGAGUGAUGAAGGUCUUCGGAUCGUAAAGCUCUGUUAUUAGGGAAGAACAAAUGUGUAAGUAACUAUGCACGUCUUGACGGUACCUAAUCAGAAAGCCACGGCUAACUACGUG